rnacentral:rRNA from 1 species
GAUGAACGCUGGCGGCGUGCCUAAUACAUGCCAGUCGAGCGAACGGACGAGAAGCUUGCUUCUCUGAUGUUAGCGGCGGACGGGUGAGUAACACGUGGAUAACCUACCUAUAAGACUGGGAUAACUUCGGGAAACCGGAGCUAAUACCGGAUGAUAUUUUGAACCGCAUGGUUCAAAGGUGAAAGACGGUCUUGCUGUCACUUAUAGAUGGAUCCGCGCUGCAUUAGCUAGUUGGUAAGGUAACGGCUUACCAAGGCAACGAUGCAUAGCCGACCUGAGAGGGUGAUCGGCCACACUGGAACUGAGACACGGUCCAGACUCCUACGGGAGGUAGCAGUAGGGAAUCUUCCGCAAUGGGCGAAAGCCUGACGGAGCAACGCCGCGUGAGUGAUGAAGGUCUUCGGAUCGUAAAACUCUGUUAUUAGGGAAGAACAUAUGUGUAAGUAACUGUGCACAUCUUGACGGUACCUAAUCAGAAAGCCACGGCUAACUACGUG